UUAGCUACAUAAGUAAGCUAGCUGCACACUUUGUGGCUUGUGGGUUAAUGGUAAAAUAUAGUAAACAUCUGCUGUCCAUCUCCUUUAGUAACAUUUUACAGCAGCAGUGGUUUAAUUGUUCCUUGUCUCAUUGUUUUAAUACUGUAAUGAAAUACAGAAAUGAAACUUGCAGACGUCCCAGAGGAUCCACGACUUGGAACCCUUCUGAUUUUGGACCCUUUCUCUGUGGAUGCUGCUUCAAGAAGACAUGGCUCUAUCCACUGUGUUGGAAAAUAAACCGAUGGAACUAUCAGCACACAGCAGCCUGAAGCUUCAGCUCACACAGAUUGACCCUCCUUCAUUCUGGAUACUGGCUGCCAGUCAAUAUCCCUCUCGGUCAAAAUGGGGCAAUCAAAUUUCGGUUGCCUUUCACCACCACGUAUUUAUGUGAAAGCUCCACUUUGCAGAGAAACUAUGGCGAAGCGUUUGUUGUCUUGCUGCUGGCCGAGGCUCUCGCGUGCUGGCUGGAGAAACGCUGCAGAGCUGCCAGGUCGAGCGGCGCUGCCAGCCGCCGUCUCUCAAGCCAGAGACGCCGCUUCGGCCUGAGAGGUCUCAACCACCUGGAACACAAAGGCAUCUGACAGCAAUCAGGACAAGAGGGAAAAUGCAUGAAAACAAACACUCUUGUUUGGAGCGGAGGCUUCCUGGCUUUUGUCAAAUGCUCCGUUUGAGCGAUCCUCUAAUGUUCUGCAAGUGCAGAUGCUAAACA